rnacentral:rRNA from 1 species
UAGUAAUUCUAGAGCUAAUACAUGCCUACACGCCCGACUUCGGAAGGGUGGUAUUUAUUAGAUAAAAAACCAUCGCACUCUCGGGUGCUUUGAGAUGAUUCAUAAUAACUUUCUCGGAUCGCAUGGCCUUGUGCCGGCGACGGUUCAUUCAAAUUUCUGCCCUAUCAACUUUCGAUGGUAGAGUCGUGGUCUACCAUGGUGUCGACGGGUGACGGGGAAUUAGGGUUCGAUUCCGGAGAGGGAGCCUGAGAAACGGCUACCACAUCCAAGGAAGGCAGCAGGCGCGCAAAUUACCCAAUCCCGAUCCGGGGAGGUAGUGACAAGAAAUAACAAUAGGAGGCCAUUUACGGUCUUCUAAUUGGAAUGAGAAAAAUUUAAAUCCCUUAUCGAGGAUCCAUUGGAGGGCAAGUCUGGUGAACAACGCAUGCGCAUAUGCUUCAAGCCCUCGUUAAAAUAAAAUCGCGCCAGGUGUCGUUUGUGAUCAUGCAGCAAGAGAGUGAGCGCUCCAGCUCUGUUCUCUGUCCUAUGCAUGUGUCGCAAAGCGGCAAAAGAUGGGACAAAAAGAGCCCCCAUCAUACACUUCGAAAUUGUCGGGGAGUGCCCGUUAAGCUUUGACUACCGCGGUCCGCCGAGAGGUGAGGGCGAGCAAUCGCUCAGGACGCAGCAGUGUGACGUAGUGGUACACGGAUGGUAAAAACGUCAAAGAUAGGGUUGAUCCGCAGGGAAGCGCGAGUGCUCAUGUUGUUUGUAUGAGCAAAGGCGAACCUUCAGAGACUCUAAUGAAGUGGGCGAAAGCUUAAGGGAGAGUCCAAUCCACGGGGAGACCCGGUCCACAGGAGUAAGAGGGCGUUGCUCACCCCCGAGGACUGUGGAUGGAGACAGAGUGUUAGCACCUGCCUUCAGGUAGUCAAUGGCCAGCAGCCGCGGUAAUUCCAGCUCCAAUAGCGUAUAUUAAAGUUGUUGCAGUUAAAACGCUCGUAGUCGGACUUCGGAGCGCUCCCACUGGGCCGGCUUCUGCCGUUGUUCUGGUGGGGGUUCGUCUCCUAUGCCGGGACGCAGCGGUGUUGGGGCCUUAAUUGUCUCUGGCACCGAUCAACUGCGGGCCGGUCUUUUACUGUGAAGAAAGGAAAGUGUUCAAAGCAGGCCAACGCCUUGAAUUUGUGAGCAUGGAAUAAUAGAAUAGGACUUGGGCUCUAUUUUGUUGGUUUUCUGUGACCAAGUAAUGAUUAAUAGGGACAGUUGGGGGCAUUCGUAUUUCAUUGUCAGAGGUGAAAUUCUUGGAUUGAUGGAAGACGAACAACUGCGAAAGCAUCUGCCAUGGAUGUUUUCAUUGAUCAAGAACGAAAGUUAGGGGAUCGAAGACGAUCAGAUACCGUCGUAGUCUUAACCAUAAACGAUGCCGACUGGGGAUUGGCGAGGCUACUAUUUAAUGACCUCGUCAGCACCCUGAGGGAAACCAAAGUCUUUGGGUUCUGGGGGGAGUAUGGUCGCAAGGCUGAAACUUAAAGGAAUUGACGGAAGGGCACCACCAGGAGUGGAGCCUGCGGCUUAAUUUGACUCAACACGGGAAAACUUACCAGGUCCGGACAAAAGAAUGAUUGACAGACUGAAAGCUCUUUCUUGAUUUUUUGGUUGGUGGUGCAUGGCCGUUCUUAGUUGGUGGAGUGAUUUGUCUGGUUAAUUCCGUUAACGAACGAGACCUCGUCCUGCUAAAUAGAUGUGCGCAUGCCAGUACUGCGUUCGUAUCUUCUUAGAGGGACUAUGCGCGUCUAGCGUAUGGAAGAUUGAGGCAAUAACAGGUCUGUGAUGCCCUUAGAUGUUCUGGGCCGCACGCGCGCUACACUGAUGCAUUCAACGAGUUCCACUUUACAGCCCUGGGCCGGAAGUCCUGGGUAAUCUUUUGAAACUGCAUCGUGCUGGGGAUAGAUCAUUGCAAUUAUUGAUCUUUAACGAGGAAUUCCUUGUAGGCGCAGGUCAUCAGCCUGCGUCGAAUACGUCCCUGCCCUUUGUACACACCGCCCGUCGCUCCUACCGAUUGAAUGGUCCGAUGAAGUGUCCGGAUCGUGGCUAGUGUGAUGGAACUUGUUCCAGAGCACGUGCUUUGAGAAGUGCAUUAAAUCUUAUCAUUUAGAGGAAGGAGAAGUCGUAACAAGGUUUCCGUAUUGGGACAACAGCACACACAGACACGCGUCCUCCCCCCAAAAAAGGUGUGUGGGCGUUUCUAUGUGUGUGUGCGUGUGUGAUCCUUCUGUGGGAAAACGUACAUGAAGCCUUUGCGGCCCGAAAGGGUGCACAGUACGCGACUUUAAAUACUGAUUCUGUGGUCAACGCAAGCGGCGCUUCGCACUCUCUUGGUAUAAAGAGGCAUGUGAUGGAAGCCGCGACUUUCUCAAAUUGCGGGAACACCCUAAAGCCAGAAGAUACCGCGGUCUGUUGGACAACAACAGGCGACAGCAGUCGGGGUAGUGCCCUGAUGGAUGGUAACAACUCUUCUGGAUCGCUCUCUCAAAAGUAAAGGCAAUGGGCAAUCCGCAGCCAAGCUCCAUAGUCCCUCCCCCCCUCAAGGGAGAGACUGGAGAAGGUUCACAGACUGUAAGGGAAGGGGUCUUUUUUUUUAUAGAAAAGGCUUAAGAGACAGUCGGUCCCCUGCGAAAGCAGAGUCUCAUGUGAGGAAGGCGCUCAUGAAAAGUGAGUGCUGGAGAGCCAUGGGAGCUCGACUACCACUAGUCGAGUGGGGAGUUUUCCUAGAUGAAACAAACACGUUCCGUAGGUGAACCUGCGGAAGGAUCAUUCACAAACAAUAUGGGGUCUUCCUAGACACCAAAAUCACCAACACACAUGCGAAAAUGACUGUGCGAGUAAAACAGCUAUGCCUCUUGUCUUGGACCAUUCCUAGACCCGAGGAUCAGUGAUGUUGUUGUUGUUUGUUGUGUUGCCUCUUCCAUUUCCACCUUGGCUGUUGCUAUCCUUUCUCUUUGUGUUCUGUCGCCGUGCUGUUGUUUUGUUGCAUAGACUGACCGGGGGGCGGUUGACACCAACAUCUUUGGGUGUUUGUGUGUUCUCCCAAUCUCUUGUUCCGCCGUGCUUUCUACUAUGUUAGUGCGGACCCUUCUUCGAUCCCGAAGCUACAAGCAUUACGUUUGUACCUACACUCGGGUUCACGGGCUUUACUGGGGACUUGGUCGUCCAUGAUUGCAACCAACAAUGCGUGUUCUGGCACAAACAAAAGGUGCACAGUAGUAGCCCAAGGUGCGGCUUUGAUGAGACA